UACGUAGGGUGCGAGCGUUAAUCGGAAUUACUGGGCGUAAAGCGUGCGCAGGCGGCUUUGCAAGACAGAUGUGAAAUCCCCGAGCUCAACUUGGGAACUGCAUUUGUGACUGCAAGGCUAGAGUACGGCAGAGGGGGAUGGAAUUCCGCGUGUAGCAGUGAAAUGCGUAGAUAUGCGGAGGAACACCAAUGGCGAAGGCAAUCCCCUGGGCCUGUACUGACGCUCAUGCACGAAAGCGUGGGGAGCAAACAGG
rnacentral:rRNA from 1 species